UUACGAAGGAGCUGUUCGUAUAGUUUGC
rnacentral:sRNA from 1 species